GAUGAACGCUAGCGAUAGGCCUAACACAUGCAAGUCGAGGGGCAGCAUAGAGUAGCAAUACUUUGAUGGCGACCGGCGCACGGGUGAGUAACACGUAUGCAACCUACCUACAUCAGGGGAAUAACCCGGAGAAAUUCAGACUAAUACCGCAUAAUACAGGGAUGCCGCAUGGCAAUAUUUGUUAAAGAUUUAUCGGAUGUAGAUGGGCAUGCGUUCCAUUAGCUUGUUGGUGAGGUAACGGCUCACCAAGGCAACGAUGGAUAGGGGAACUGAGAGGUUUGUCCCCCACACUGGAACUGAGACACGGCCCAGACUCCUACGGGAGGCAGCAGUGAAGAAUAUUGGUCAAUGGACGAGAGUCUGAACCAGCCAAAUCGCGUGAAGGAAGACUGCCCUACGGGUUGUAAACUUCUUUUGUACAGGAAUAAAAGACAUUACGUGUAAUGUAUUGCAUGUACUGUACGAAUAAGCAUCGGCUAACUCCGUGCCAGCCGCCGCCGUAA
rnacentral:rRNA from 1 species